UACGAAGGGGGGCUAGCGUUGCUCGGAAUCACUGGGCGUAAAGCGCACGUAGGCGGCUUUCUAAGUCAGGGGUGAAAUCCUGGAGCUCAACUCCAGAACUGCCUUUGAUACUGGGGAGCUCGAGUCCGGAAGAGGUGAGUGGAACUCCGAGUGUAGAGGUGAAAUUCGUAGAUAUUCGGAAGAACACCAGUGGCGAAGGCGGCUCACUGGUCCGGUACUGACGCUGAGUGAGCGAAAGCCAGGGGAGCAAACGGG
rnacentral:rRNA from 1 species